AUUGAACGCUUGCGGCAGGCCUAACACAUUCAAGUCGAACGAGGGGCGGACGGGUGAGUAAGUUCUGGGAAACUGCCCGAUGGAAGGGAAUAACGACUGGAACCGGUAGCUAAUACCGAUUACCAUCGGAUGUCCCCAGAUGGGAUUAGCUAGUGGGGUGGGUAACGGCUCACCUAGGCGACGAUCCCUAGCUGGUCUGAGAGGAUGACCAGCCACACUGGAACUGAGAAACGGUCCAUACUCAUACGGGAGGCAGCAGUGGGGAAUAUUGCACAAGGGGGGCAAGCCUGAUGCAGCCAUGCCGCGUGUAUGAAGAAGGCCUUCGGGUUGUAAAGUCCUUUCAGCGAGGAGGCGUUACUCGCAGAAGAAGCAUCGGCUAACUCCGUGCCAGCAGCCGCGGUAAUAC
rnacentral:rRNA from 1 species